UUUGGAUGUGUGCUCUGCAGUCCCGGCUGCUUCAGUUUGUUCAGGGGAGCUGCCCUGAUGGAUGACAAUGUAAUGAAGAAAUAUGCUACUAAAGCCACAGAGGCAGCCCAAUAUGUGCAAUAUGAUCAAGGUGAGGACCGCUGGCUGUGUACUUUGCUUCUACAACAAGGCUGGCGAAUAGAGUACACUGCAUCUUCUGAUUCCUACACGAAUGCCCCCCAGGAGUUUAAAGAGUUUUACAACCAAAGGCGGCGCUGGGGACCCUCAUCUUUGGCAAACACUCUUGACCUUCUGAACACAGGAAAAGAAACUUCAAGGAAAAAUUAAUCUAUAUCAAGACUGUAUAUCCUGUAUCAGAUUUUACAAACCGCCUUCUCCAUUCUAGCACCUGCCACAGUUUGUCUCAUGAUAGCAGGAUGCUUCACGUUUAUCUUUGGCUUGAAUGGAAAUAUCUCCCUUUUUCUGGCUGUUCUUCCUCCAGUUUUCUACAUGGUGAUCUGUUUCACAUGUAAAUCUGACAACCAAAUCCUGGUUGCUGGUUUCAUGAAUAUAUUUUAUGCAUUUCUCAUGGCAGCCACCUUCCUCAGCAUUAUAGUUGACAUGGUCAAGCAACAAACAUUCAUCACCCCCAGUGGUCUGUUUUUCAUUUUUUUAGUGGUGCUUUACUUUGUAGCAGCUCUGAUGCACCCCCAGGAAUUCCACCUUGUCCUCUAUGGAUUUAUUUAUAUAAUUUGUGUGCCAAGUGCUUAUCUGCUCUUAAACAUAUACACACUGGUCAACCUGAAUAAUAUUUCCUGGGGAACCCGAGAGACAGCAACCUAUGAGAAGCUGGGAACAAGAAAAGCCAAAAAAAAUGUGAAGUAUGUGAAGAAGUGCAAAUGUCUCUGCUAGAAUUUAGAAUUUCAAGUAAAUGAGGACCAGAAAAUAUCAGCUUCCUCCAACCCAGAAGAAGUAGUGCUUCUGCAUGAUGCUUCUGAAAGCCAAAAUGAAGAAACUGAAAACUUUGAGGCCGGUGCAAUAGAUGACACUGUGGAUGAAAGAUGGAUUCAGCAGCUUCAAGAGAACACAGAUCAUAUUGAACUUGUUGAAGAUAAACUUGAUGAAGAUGAAAUUCCCUUUUGGAAA